rnacentral:tRNA from 1 species
AGCAGCGUGGCUCAAAGGAAAGAGCCCGGGCUUGGGAGUCAGAGGCCAUGGGUUCAAAUCCCGUCUCUGCAA